rnacentral:rRNA from 1 species
GAUGAACGCUAGCUACAGGCUUAACACAUGCAAGUCGAGGGGAAACGACAUCGAAAGCUUGCUUUUGAUGGGCGUCGACCGGCGCACGGGUGAGUAACGCGUAUCCAACCUGCCCAUCACUUGGGAAUAACCUUGCGAAAGUAAGACUAAUACCCAAUGAUAUCCCACGAAGGCAUCGGAAUGGGAUUAAAGAUUUAUCGGUGAUGGAUGGGGAUGCGUCUGAUUAGCUUGUUGGCGGGGUAACGGCCCACCAAGGCAACGAUCAGUAGGGGUUCUGAGAGGAAGGUCCCCGACAUUGGAACUGAGACACGGUCCAAACUCCUACGGGAGGCAGCAGUGAGGAAUAUUGGUGAAUGGGAGAGAGCCUGAACCAGCCAAGUAGCGUGCAGGAAGACGGCCCUAUGGGUUGUAAACUGCUUUUAUAAGGGAAUAAAGUGGGUCACGUGUGACUUUUUGCAUGUACCUUAUGAAUAAGGACCGGCUAAUUCCGUG